UUGUUUCUUAAAACAAAACAAAAGGAAAAGAAGUGUCCUAAUUUGAACUAAGAACCUAAAGUUGUAAAGCCUAAUCAUAAAGUUGAACUCAGCGCCGAACUCAACCUCGCCACUAUCGUAUCUCAACUUUGCCUCCAUCGUAACCUCGUCGUUGUCAGCCUCCAUUUUUGUGACCUUCAGCGCCACCUUUAGUGAAAGUGAGUUAGGGUUUUGACAUUACCUCAUUAAUGUUAAUUUGCAUCCAUGCCUAUCAUAAAUCAGUGGUGGUUGUCAUGAUUCUUCAUGGAAGCAGAGUGUUUGGCAUAUGUUUUAUAGAGAGUAUUGAGGCAAGAGGUUGUAUGCAAAGAUUCCCAAUGAUGAAAUAAUGAGACAUCCUAGAGAUUCUGAAGCUCUGAAAUGAUUUGACUCAUGGUUCACAUUUGAUUUACGAAAUGUUCAUCUUGCGUUAGCUAUUGACAGUUUUAAUCGCUUCGGUGUUAUGAGUUUGAAAUAUGGUGUUAUGAGUUUGAAAUAUAGUAUUUGGCCACUAAUUAUCAUUCCAUACAUUACUCCUUCAUGGGUGUGCAUGAAACAAACAUAUUUUAUAAUAGAAGACGCUUUUGAACCACUGGCGUAGAUGCUUAUGAUGCUUUCAAACGUGAGAUGUUCAAAUUGUUUGAAAUCAAAAUAUUUCUUGUAGAACAAGGUAAUAUUGUUAGUACCUUUUAUGUAUCUAAGGAGUCUCUUAACAACAAUUAAAUAUGAUUCAUUAGGGUUAGGUUGAAAUCUUGCACAUACACACACAUUAAACAUGCAUGAUGUCAAGUUUGGAAGCUAUAAGGUAAUGUAGGGAUCAUAUCAUCCCAUUAGUGGGUUUUUGGUCAACUUUAUGACCUUAUUCAUCUUUUUCAAUUGAAC